CUGUGGGAAACGGUACGUUAACCAUGUUUCACCACCUCCAAAAAAGCCAUUGGAAAAAGGAUAAUUUUCCGACAGUUCUCUACUCAAGAAUAGCAAAGGCAGCAACCGAAUAAUGAAUACAAAAUGCCACAGCAAGCUAAUAUGAAAGAUGAUAUUUUCCAGUAUGAAAAUUGAAAAAAUCGGUACAUAUAUAGAAGAAAAAAUUGCUAUGGAAGGGCAAUAAUUUCGGGCAGUUCCUCAACCAAGAAGCAAG
rnacentral:lncRNA from 1 species